GAAAUGCGAUAAGUAGUGUGAAUUGCAGAAUUCAGUGAAUCAUCGAAUCUUUGAACGCACAUUGCGCCCUUUGGUAUUCCUUAGGGCAUGCCUGUUCGAGCGUCAUUUAAACCUUCAAGCCCUGCUUGGUGUUGGGUGCCUGUCCCGCCCCCGCGCGUGGACUCACCUCAAAUCCAUUGGCGGCCCCCGCAUGGCCACGAGCGCAGCAGAAACGCAAACUCGUGUGCCGGACCGGGCGGCUCCAGAAGCUACACUCACCAUUUUGACCUCGGAUCAGGUAGGGAUACCCGCUGAACUUAAGC
rnacentral:misc_RNA from 1 species